AUUACAGUGUUUAAUAGUCACAUGUACAGGGUUACAGGUGUUAUUACAGUGUUUAAUAGUCACAUGUACAGGGUUACAGGUGUUAUUACAGGGUUUAAUAGUCACAUGUACAGGGUUACAGGUGUUAUUACAGGGUACAGUGUUUAAUAGUCACAUGUACAGGGUUGCAGGUGUUAUUACAGGGUACAGUGUUUAAUAGUCACAUGUACAGGGUUACAGGUGUUAUUACAGGGUACAGUGUUUAAUAGUCACAUGUACAGGGUUGCAGGUGUUAUUACAGUGUUUAAUAGUCACAUGUACAGGGUAGCAGGUGUUAUU
ensembl:lncRNA